rnacentral:rRNA from 1 species
CCUACGGGAGGCAGCAGUAGGGAAUCUUCCACAAUGGGCGAAAGCCUGAUGGAGCAACGCCGCGUGGGUGAAGAAGGUCUUCGGAUCGUAAAACCCUGUUGUUAGAGAAGAAAGUGCGUGAGAGUAACUGUUCACGUUUCGACGGUAUCUAACCAGAAAGCUACGGCUAACUACGUGCCAGCAGCCGCGGUAAUACGUAGGUGGCAAGCGUUAUCCGGAUUUAUUGGGCGUAAGGGGAACGCAGGCGGUCUUUUAAGUCUGAUGUGAAAGCCUUCGGCUUAACCGGAGUAGUGCAUUGGAAACUGGGAGACGUGAGUGCAGAAGAGGAGAGUGGAACGCCAUGUGUAGCGGUGAAAUGCGUAGAUAUAUGGAAGAACACCAGUGGCGAAAGCGGCUCUCUGGUCUGUAACUGACGCUGAGGUUCGAAAGCGUGGGUAGCAAACAGGAUUAGAUACCCCGGUAGUC